rnacentral:rRNA from 1 species
GAUGAACGCUGGCGGCGUGCCUAAUACAUGCAAGUCGAGCGAACAGAUGAGGAGCUUGCUCCUCUGACGUUAGCGGCGGACGGGUGAGUAACACGUGGAUAACCUACCUAUAAGACUGGGAUAACUUCGGGAAACCGGAGCUAAUACCGUAUAAUAUAUUGAACCGCAUGGUUCAAUAGUGAAAGAUGGUUUUGCUGUCACUUAUAGAUGGAUCCGCGCCGCAUUAGCUAGUUGGUAAGGUAACGGCUUACCAAGGCAACGAUGCGUAGCCGACCUGAGAGGGUGAUCGGCCACACUGGAACUGAGACACGGUCCAGACUCCUACGGGAGGCAGCAGUAGGGAAUCUUCCGCAAUGGGCGAAAGCCUGACGGAGCAACGCCGCGUGAGUGAUGAGGGUCUUCGGAUCGUAAAACUCUGUUAUUAGGGAAGAACAAAUGUGUAAGUAACUAUGCACGUCUUGACGGUACCUAAUCAGAAAGCCACGGCUAACUACGUG